rnacentral:rRNA from 1 species
AUGACCGUGACGCUCCAGGAUAGUGCUAUGAUCACCGGUCUUCCUAUCAAUGGGAAUCCUCUAUGUAUGAACACCGAUUCUGAUGGGUGGCGCGUGCAGAUGCAUGCCCUUAUCGGUAUGGUUCCUCCGGAGCCUCGGGAACCAGAAGCAGAAGACAAGAAGAAGGAAAGAGUCGCAGACUAUGUUUGCUGA